rnacentral:rRNA from 1 species
UACGUAGGGUGCGAGCGUUGUCCGGAAUUAUUGGGCGUAAAGGGCUCGUAGGCGGUCUGUCGCGUCGAAAGUGAAAACUCAGGGCUUAACCCUGAGCCUGCUUCCGAUACGGGCAGACUAGAGGUAUGCAGGGGAGAACGGAAUUCCUGGUGUAGCGGUGAAAUGCGCAGAUAUCAGGAGGAACACCGGUGGCGAAGGCGGUUCUCUGGGCAUUACCUGACGCUGAGGAGCGAAAGUGUGGGGAGCAAACAGG